CCCAGUUCGGAUUGUAGUCUGCAACCCGACUACAUGAAGCUGGAAUCGCUAGUAAUCGUGGAUCAGAAUGCCGCGGUGAAUACGUUCCCGGGUCUUGUACACACCGCCCGUCACACCAUGGGAGCCGGUAACGCCCGAAGUCAGUGACCCAACCGAGAGGAGGGAGCUGCCGAAGGCGGGACAGGUAACUGGGGUGAAGUCGUAACAAGGUACC
rnacentral:rRNA from 1 species